UACCGAGGGGGCGAGCGUUGUUCGGAAUUACUGGGCGUAAAGGGCUCGUAGGUGGCCAACUAAGUCAGACGUGAAAUCCCUCAGCUUAACUGGGGAACUGCGUCUGAUACUGGAUGGCUUGAGUUUGGGAGAGGGAUGCGGAAUUCCAGGUGUAGCGGUGAAAUGCGUAGAUAUCUGGAGGAACACCGGUGGCGAAGGCGGCAUCCUGGACCAACACUGACACUGAGGAGCGAAAGCCAGGGGAGCAAACGGG
rnacentral:rRNA from 1 species